rnacentral:lncRNA from 1 species
CCAAAGCUUCCAUCUCCGUCAGCGACUCCAUCGCCUUGUGGAGGCUCUGUGUGGCACACACGAGCUUCUCCAUGUUCUCAAUUUUGCUCUCCACGUCCUUUGUUCCGAACUCGAGCUUCCGGGCGUCGACGGACUCGAAGCAACGGGCGAGGUUGCGGUCGGAGCAGCGCGUGGCGAGGCGGGAGACGGUGGCGGCGGAGAGGUUGAGGUCCUCGAGGCGCUUGGCACAGGCGAGGGUGAGGAGGAAGCACUCAUCACGGGAGUUGAGUUUAGAGACGGAUUUUGACCUAAUGACGUGGCGGCGGAGGUGGAGGAUUUCUU